rnacentral:rRNA from 1 species
UACGUAGGGACCAAGCGUUGCUCGGAUUUACUGGGCGUAAAGGGCGCGUAGGCGGACAGUUUAGUCAGAGGUGAAAGCCCAGGGCUCAACCUUGGAAAUGCCUUUGAUACUGGCUGUCUUGAGUUCGGGAGAGGUGAGUGGAAUGCCGAGUGUAGAGGUGAAAUUCGUAGAUAUUCGGCGGAACACCAGUGGCGAAGGCGACUCACUGGCCCGAUACUGACGCUGAGGCGCGAAAGCGUGGGGAGCAAACAGG